CCUAAAUUGAUUUUCUCGAAAUCCUUAACCCUUCUUCAAUCAUUCCUAAUUGCCUCUCCUCGAUACCACCAUCUUCUUCUCCAACCGUAACAAUACCCACCCCUUGAAAGGAUCCUUGUCCCCAAGGAUCAAAUUAUGGGAAUUGUACUUUGAGCACGGAGUAGUCCUCCCAGGUGUCGUGAUUGGCAUUGAGGUUUACCCAACGAACCAAGAGGGGUUUCAUUGAAACAGUUUACGAUUCUCCAAUUCUCUUUUUCAAAAGGCUAACGUGAAAGACAUAAUGCAAUCGAGAGUCAUCGGAUUCUUUCGCAGGGCAAGGGAAUUUUGUCAACAAGGUUGUAAUUUCAGGUGCCGCAGUCAAUUCUUGGAUCAUGGGAUCAGCCAUCAGAAUUGGUUAUUCGUUUGUGAAGUGUGUAUCAACGUCAAGAAUGGUGUUAGGUAUUGGAUCUAAUUGUUAUUCUUGAUGUUAUUGUUGUCGCUAUUGUCUCUU